GGUAAGAAGAUUGUGGUCCAGAUUGCAAAGGAGACUCACAUAGUGAGUUCUUGGCUGAAGUCAAAGUGGAUCUGAACCCCAUGGUAAUAGAUAGAAAAGCAAUCAGGACUUCGGGCAGCAGAACUGAGGGGCAAGUGUGUUGUCAAGUGUACCCUGCCUCCUUUUCCUCACUGGGAAAGACUGUGAUCUGGGAUCACUAUUGAAAACAAACAACUACAGGCUUGGAAGUCAGGAUGUCCUUGUUUUAUGUUUGUUUCAUAAAGGCUGGACGCAUUGGAUAAAUGACUGAACCUCUCUGGGCCUAAGUCAAAUGGGAGUGAUAAUGCCACUCUUCUCACUGCAAGAAAAGACAUAGAAUAAAUGGUAUUAGGACUAAUGUGAUUGUAACUCAUCAACUCAUGCCAUGAAAAAAAACCUUCAUAGAAUGGAAUGGAUUGGCUUUAGUCAAUGGUCCCUUUCUUUGGUAAGUGUUCUAUAUAACUUGAUUCCAAGUAUAAUUGGACACAUGUUGAAAUUAAUUUUAUUAUUAGAAAAGAC